CCUACGGGGAGCAGCAGUGGGGAAUAUUGGGCAAUGGGCGCAAGCCUGACCCAGCAACGCCGCGUGAAGGAAGAAGGCUUUCGGGUUGUAAACUUCUUUUAAGGGGGAAGAGCAGAAGACGGUACCCCUUGAAUAAGCCACGGCUAAAUACGUGCCAGCAGCCGCGGUAAUACGUAGGUGGCAAGCGUUGUCCGGAUUUACUGGGUGUAAAGGGCGUGCAGCCGGAGAGACAAGUCAGAUGUGAAAUCCACGGGCUCAACCCGUGAACUGCAUUUGAAACUGUUUCCCUUGAGUGUCGGAGAGGUAAUCGGAAUUCCUUGUGUAGCGGUGAAAUGCGUAGAUAUAAGGAAGAACACCAGUGGCGAAGGCGGAUUACUGGACGAUAACUGACGGUGAGGCGCGAAAGCGUGGGGAGCAAACAGGAUUAGAUACCCGGGUAGUC
rnacentral:rRNA from 1 species